rnacentral:lncRNA from 1 species
GGCCGUCACCACCUGCCCCGCCUUGCCCUUCUCCGGUUGGUCCGUUUUCCGCGAGGGGUGGGGCCGCCGUAGGGACCCGGACCCGGGGUCGCCAGCCCGGGUGGGCCGGGUCACGUGGGCCGGCGGGCGGCAGAGCGCCGGGGGCGGGGCGGCGAGGGGCAACUGGAGGCCAUUUUGGGGGCGUAGUGGCCGCCCGUGACCGCCCCCGCCCGGGCCCCGGCCCCCGCCCCGCGAGCCGCCCGCCGGAGCAUCUUCUCGCCUGAGCAGAAAACAUCUCUCCGGUCCUCCGAUGUCAGAGCCUCCUCCACCUCGGGUCGUCUCCUUUUCCCCAGCCUGAGCCAGAACCCCAAUCUAGGAUUCUCUGUCCCCUGGCCUCCACUGACACUGAAUAAUGAGACACUUGCCUCACUGCCCUACUGCCAGGAGGCAGCAGCAAUCUACCUGAGAGGCACGGGUGUGGGCAGGAGCCUGGGUCCUUCUUCUGGCUUGUUUCAAAUCACUGGAUGAUCUUAUUGCCAACCAGGAGAGAGAGAGAGAGACCGGCUGUUUAUCUACUCUAAGAACAGCAUGGCAAAAGAUACUUAAAAUGUCACCUCAUUUUCUGCACUCUUAAUAUGACCCCCUUGACACAGUCUGAGGCCACAGAUCACGAUGACAAGAGGAAAUUAUCAGUAAGAAAAGACGGCUCUUAACCCAAGCCCACUCCAGGGUUCAGAAGACCUCGGGCCCGGCCCUCAAUGCCCCGGCCGCCAGCGCCCUCUCCCGGGCGGCGGGCACACAGCAGAGGCGCGCAGGCCGACGCUGCCUUUUCCCGGACUUCAGGGCUUUCUCCUCCCGCCGCUCGGCUUCCUUCACUCCCGCCGCGUCCCGCCCGCAACCGGCGCCUCCGCCCGCAGCCGGCGCCUCCGCCCCCGCGCGCCGCCCUGCCCCGGGCGUUCGCGGCUUCCGAGGCCCGGCCCGGCCCGGCCGCCCACCCACCGGCACGUCAAACGCCCUCAUUUCCCUUGAAAAGUUUCUAGACGGCAAUAGAAAAGGCAUUAAAAAUGAGUCCUUGGCUGGUCACGGGAGAUGGCCUUCUUGCCACUUCUAAGUUCCAUUCAACUCACAGAGAAGUCUUGAUGACUGAAGAAGUUGCUGCUCAUGCAUUUCCUGCAAAAUGUAUUUCGAAGACAGAGACCAUCAGUUGCUUCUUACUGAAAGCUGAUGAGGAACUCUUCUUUUAUAAACCCAGUCUGAAAACUUCCUCUGGCUAUUUCUCGUCUCCUGAGAAUUUUCUCUGCCCUCAGGAGAGUCCUCAGCUCCUCUAUACAUAAGGGGGUAGCAAAUUAUAUUCCUAAAUAAAAUCUAGUAGCA